GGUCACCAGGCUCUUCCACCUCCACAUCGAUCUGCAUGACCUCGUAGGAGGCGCCAUCCGCACUGGAGAGAAGACACAGAGGAGAACAGCUUUCAGGGACUGAUGAGGUAGAAAAAUGUAGAUUUGGUGCCUGCCUCUGCCUGAAAAGGAAGUGACCAGGGUGUAGCUGAGAAUGAACAGAGGAAUCCGCUGAGAGAGAUGAGCUAUGGGUCCUACAAAACUGUCCAUAGGAAACUGGAAUGUCACACAGAGUAAGGGACAAUUCUUCAUGAUAUGAAACCACUGCACAUGCUGCAGGACACCUGUCAACCCAGGCCCUGCCUAUCUAUAAUGGCCAACAGGAAACCCCGGUGAUGAUGACAGCCAGAGACACACCCCACAACCUCCAAAGAGAUGAUCACAGCCAGAGACAUACCCCACAACCUCCAAAGAGAAGCUGAACUUGCUUCAUGUCUAAGAUCCGUAGAGCUGUGGAGUCCAGCAGGCUACCCACCAAAUCAGGAGCUGCCCAUCUGAGCCGCCCACUGUCGUGUGCACCAUCAACGGAAGAUGUGCUGCCUCUCUCCACAUGCAACCUACGUUCCAAAUGUAAAUUUGUAUGUGUGCAUCUGGUUGGGGAAAUCUAAAUCACACCCAGAAUGCCUCACUGCAAGGGACCCUGGGAAAUGCAGUUCUUAGAUGCUCACUAGAAAGGCUGAAGAACCCUAAGCCCACCAGCCCUCAGUGUGCAGGAUUUAGACACACAAUCAACAGAAAUACAGAAAUGCCCGUUUUAGCACCUCAUGUAAACCCUACACUUUUACAUUUCAUGUCAAUCCUCUAGAUAAUCUUUUUGUUGUUAUUGAGGCGGAGUCUUGCUCUGUUGCCCAGGCUGGCAUGGAGUGGUGUGAUCUUGGCUCACUGCACCCUCUGCCUCCUGGGUUCUGGUGAUUCUCCUGACUCAGCCUGGGAUUACAGGUGCAUGCCACUACACCUGGCUAAUUUUUGUAUUUUUAGUAGAGACAGGGUUUCAACAUAUUGGCCAGGCUGGUCUCGAACUCCUGACCUCAAGAGAUCCAUCUGCCUUGGCCUCUUAAAGUGCUGGGAUUAUAGGUGUGAGCCACCAUGCCUGGCCUCUAGGUAACCUUUUAUUUGAAGUUGAGAUUUGCCUUGAUUAGUACAAUGGUUCUUGCCCUCACUGGGCGUCAGAUUCACAUGGAUAACUUAAGAAGUACAGAAGACCGGGUCCCAAAUCCCAGAGAGCCUGAUUCACUCAGUCUGGGCAGGCCCAGGUCAUCCCUGGAUAAUUCCCAUAAGGACCCGGAAUGAGGAACACUGGGUUAGACAACACCGCAGUCACCCAGUAUCCUCUGCCUCCCGAAAGCUGUAGAACCUCGUAGACUUUGUAGAAGACUCUCAUUGAGCUCAGGACUGAAUUGCCGAAAAUACAUAACACAUCGUAAAAAAAGAUCUGAGAAAUGCUCCGAAGGCUGGAACAACACAUGCUCAUCACGAGCAAAGAGAAGUUGCACCAACAGUGGAGGACAUUUUAAUUAGCCAAACCUUAUGUAUAAAAAUGAAAAUGCAGCACUCAGCUGCCAAGUCAACUACUGAACAUUUAAAAGAGCUUAUUGAAACUUUAACAGUGACUUAAACAAAACAAAACAAACAAGUGAAAAUAAACAAAUGGCGGCUGGCAACACAUUGUGUCACAGAUGGAUGGGCUCCACCACGCUGUCCGAGGUAAAUCACAAAAGACAAAAUAAAUAAAUAAAUACAUAAACAACAUUAGGCAGAACUCCCAGGGCUGUAGACCACUUUUUAAAGUCUUCAGACAAAAAUUAAAAAAA
rnacentral:lncRNA from 1 species